GCUCUGGGCCAUAUUGCUUUCCGUUUCAGGGAAGAAUGAUGAAAUCCUACCUCCAGCUGUGGCCAUCUUUUCCCCAUCAAAGCAAGAGAUCCAACAGAAGAGCAAGGCCACACUGGUAUGCUUGGCCUCUGGUUUCUACCCUGACCACCUGAAUCUGGUCUGGAAGGUGAAUGGUGUUAAGAGGACAGAAGGGGUGGGGACAGAUGAGUUUUCCACAUGGAAUGGGACUACCUACUCAUUGACCAGCCGACUGAGGAUCCCAGCCCAGGAAUGGUUCAACCCUUUGAACCGUUUCGAGUGUGUUGCCAAUUUUUUUAAGAACAAAACACUGGAAUCGAUACACAAAUUAAUCUACGGUGAUGCUGGUUGUGCACUCACGGAAGAGUCCUACUUGCGGUAUGGAAAUUCUCUGAAGCUCACUUACCUCAUUCUCUGUGGCAAAGCCUUGCUCUAUGCAGUUUUGGUGAGCAGUCUGGUGUGGACAGCCAAGGUGCAGGACCUUGCACUUGACUUUGAUGAACUUUAUGAUGUUCAUAUGGGCCCACUCCUCAAAUCUGUCCAGGCCCCUCUGGAUGGCAUCCCUCCCCUCAAGCAUAUCAACUGCACCUCUCAGCUUGGUGUCAUCCACAAACUUGAGGUGGAUGCAUUCAAUCCCACUAUCAAUGACACAGUGAUGAAG